AGAGUUUGAUCCUGGCUCAGAUUGAACGCUGGCGGCAUGCCUUACACAUGCAAGUCGAACGGCAGCACGGGGGCAACCCUGGUGGCGAGUGGCGAACGGGUGAGUAAUAAAUCGGAACGUGCCCGGUAGUGGGGGAUAACCAGUCGAAAGAUUGGCUAAUACCGCAUACGACCUACGGGUGAAAGCGGGGGAUCGCAAGACCUCGCGCUAUCGGAGCGGCCGAUUUCCGAUUAGCUAGUUGGUGAGGUAAAAGCCCACCAAGGCGACGAUCGGUAGCUGGUCUGAGAGGACGGCCAGCCACACUGGGACUGAGACACGGCCCAGACUCCUACGGGAGGCAGCAGUGGGGAAUAUUGGACAAUGGGGGCAACCCUGAUCCAGCAAUGCCGCGUGUGUGAAGAAGGCCUUCGGGUUGUAAAGCACUUUAGGUUGGGAG
rnacentral:rRNA from 1 species